CAGCCGCCACGGGAAUACGAAGGGUGCAAGCGUUAAUCGGAAUUACUGGGCGUAAAGCGUGCGUAGGCGGUUUGUUAAGUCUGUUGUGAAAUCCCCGGGCUCAACCUGGGAAUGGCAAUGGAUACUGGCAAGCUAGAGUGUGUCAGAGGAUGGUGGAAUUCCCGGUGUAGCGGUGAAAUGCGUAGAGAUCGGGAGGAACAUCAGUGGCGAAGGCGGCCAUCUGGGACAACACUGACGCUGAGGCACGAAAGCGUGGGGAGCAAACAGGAUUAGAUACCCGCGUAGUCCCGUCUCUUAUACA
rnacentral:rRNA from 1 species